rnacentral:rRNA from 1 species
AUUUAAGCAUAUAAGUAAGCGGAGGAUAAGAAACUAAAUAGGAUUCCCUUAGUAAUGGCGAAUGAACAGGGAUCAGCUCAGCAUGGAAAUUGGGGCCCUCGGCCUUGAAUUGUAGUCUCGAGAUGUAUCGCCAACGGAGGCGCAGAUGUAAGCCUCUUGGAAAGGAGCAUCAACGAGGGUGAGAGUCCCGUUUGUCAUCUGCAGUCCCCCGUGCACGGCAUACCUUCUAAGAGUCGCGUUCCUCGGAAUUGGAGCGUAAAUUGGGUGGUAAAUUUCAUCUCAAGCUAAAUAUUGGUUCGAGACCGAUAGCAAACAAGUACCAUGAGGGAAAGAUGAAAAGGACUUUGAAAAGAGAGUUAAAAGUGCCUGAAAUUGCUGAAAGGGAAGCGAAUGGAACCAGUGUUGCUUGGCAAGAUUGUCGGGUGCAUGACGCGCUUGAUGUCUCUUGCCUUGUGUGUCAACGCCAGUUCGCGAUCGAGGAAAACUCCAGGGUCAUGGUAGCUCGUCUACGGGUGAGUGAAUAGCCUUGGCAGAACUCAUUUGCGGACUGUUUCUUUCGUGUCUGGUUGCAGUGUCCUUGGCAUUCUGGAAGCUCGUCUUGGCUUGCCACUGGCGGGGGACCUGGGUGACUUGGGCAUUUCCCUGACACAAAGACGAUGACUAAAUGGUUCUAUUCGACCCGUCUUGAAACACGGACCAAGGAGUCCUAACACA